UGGGGAAUUUUGGACAAUGGGCGAAAGCCUGAUCCAGCAAUGCCGCGUGUGUGAAGAAGGCCUUCGGGUUGUAAAGCACUUUUGUCCGGAAAGAAAUCCUUGGCUCUAAUACAGUCGGGGGAUGACGGUACCGGAAGAAUAAGCACCGGCUAACUACGUGCCAGCAGCCGCGGUAAUACGUAGGGUGCAAGCGUUAAUCGGAAUUACUGGGCGUAAAGCGUGCGCAGGCGGUUUGCUAAGACCGAUGUGAAAUCCCCGGGCUCAACCUGGGAACUGCAUUGGUGACUGGCAGGCUAGAGUAUGGCAGAGGGGGGUAGAAUUCCACGUGUAGCAGUGAAAUGCGUAGAGAUGUGGAGGAAUACCGAUGGCGAAGGCAGCCCCCUGGGCCAAAUACCGACGCUCAUGCACGAAAGCGUGGGGAGCAAACAGGAUUAGAUACCCUGGUAGUCCACGCCCUAAAACGAUGUCAACUAGUUGUUGGGGAUUCAUUUCCUUAGUAACGUAGCUAACGCGUGAAGUUGACCGCCUGGGGAGUACGGUCGCAAGAUUAAAACUCAAAUGAAUUGACGGGGUCAUAGCUGUUUCCU
rnacentral:rRNA from 1 species